rnacentral:rRNA from 1 species
AAUGGGGGAAACCCUGAUCUAGCCAUGCCGCGUGGACGAUGAAGGCCUUAGGGUUGUAAAGUCCUUUCAGCUGGGAAGAUAAUGACGGUACCAGCAGAAGAAGCCCCGGCUAACUCCGUGCCAGCAGCCGCGGUAAUACGGAGGGGGCUAGCGUUGUUCGGAAUUACUGGGCGUAAAGCGCACGUAGGCGGACUGAAAAGUUGGAGGUGAAAUCCCAGGGCUCAACCUUGGAACUGCCUUCAAAACUAUCAGUCUGGAGUUCGAGAGAGGUGAGUGGAAUUCCGAGUGUAGAGGUGAAAUUCGUAGAUAUUCGGAGGAACACCAGUGGCGAAGGCGGCUCACUGGCUCGAUACUGACGCUGAGGUGCGAAAGCGUGGGGAGCAAA